rnacentral:rRNA from 1 species
AUUGAACGCUGGCGGCAGGCCUAACACAUGCAAGUCGAGCGGAGCGGCGGACGGGUGAGUAAUGCCUAGGAAUCUGCCUGGUAGUGGGGGAUAACGUCCGGAAACGGGCGCUAAUACCGCAUACUAUCAGAUGAGCCUAGGGCGGAUUAGCUAGUUGGUGGGGUAAAGGCCUACAAAGGCGACGAUCCGUAACUGGUCUGAGUGGAUGAUCAGUCACACUGUAACUGAGAAACGGUCCAGACGCCUACGUGAGGCAGCAGUGGGGAAUAUUGGACAAUGGGCGAAAGGCUGAUCCAGCCAUGCCGCGUGUGGGAAGAAGGUCUGCGGAUUGUAAAGCACUUUAAGUUGGGAGGCGUUACCAACAGAAUAAGCACCGGCUAACUUCGUGCCAGCCGCCGCGGUAAGUC